UAGAGAAAGUAUCCAAGGAGCUAAAGA
rnacentral:piRNA from 1 species